rnacentral:rRNA from 1 species
AUUGAACGCUGGCGGCAGGCUUAACACAUGCAAGUCGAGCGGGGGAAGGUAGCUUGCUACCGGACCUAGCGGCGGACGGGUGAGUAAUGCUUAGGAAUCUGCCUAUUAGUGGGGGACAACAUCUCGAAAGGGAUGCUAAUACCGCAUACGUCCUACGGGAGAAAGCAGGGGAUCUUCGGACCUUGCGCUAAUAGAUGAGUCUAAGUCGGAUUAGCUAGUUGGUGGGGUAAAGGCCUACCAAGGCGACGAUCUGUACCGGGUCUGAGAGGAUGAUCCGCCACACUGGGACUGAGACACGGCCCAGACUCCUACGGGAGGCAGCAGUGGGGAAUAUUGGACAAUGGGGGGAACCCUGAUCCAGCCAUGCCGCGUGUGUGAAGAAGGCCUUAUGGUUGUAAAGCACUUUAAGCGAGGAGGAGGCUACUCUAGUUAAUACCUAGGGAUAGUGGACGUUACUCGCAGAAUAAGCACCGGCUAACUCUGUGCCAGCAGCCGCGGUAA